GGCUUCAAAACAAGGGGUUAGGUAAUCAGUGAGUGUCUGGUUGUUGGUGCGCGGCCGGGCUGAGGUCACGUGACUGGUCUGAGAGGGAACUAAAAUGUGAGCAGCUUGCUUCCAUAGAUUGAGAGGACUUUGCUUACACUGUCCCAGUCUACACAGGAAAGCUGAAACGUAGGCUACAAAAAGCAGAAUAAGUGUCAGUUUAUUGUGUGAUCCAGUGUUUCCAAACUUCACAUAUGGUAGCGAUAACUUCAACAUCAGAUGUCCGAUCUUAUGCAGGUCAGAUGGACAAAGACCCGUGCUCUGUCCUGCCGCGUGCAACGUUUCAGGGCAAACCCCCUUAGUCAUGCGCACAGCCAUUGAAGAUAAUGUAAUGGAGCUUUUGUGGAAGAUUAUAAAGGGAGGAUCGAUCCUAUGAGAAUUGCAGGAGUAGUUUAGACAGUCAUGCAUUACAUGGCAGGGGGAAUGAAUGACAAUAUGGAAACACUACUUGCACUUUAUUUCUCAGUUUCAUUCUAUGCUCUGUCAAGAAACCCGCCUGGACUUUCCCAAAGAGGGUCUUUAAAAAGUCCUUUGAGAACCAGAAAGAACAAUGAUCUCUUUAUAACUAUCCAUUUAAACUUGUCUGGUUCAGCAAAACAGAAAGACAGGCUAGAUGGCCAAUGGUUACACCUCAUAUGAUCAUUUAAUUGAGCAAAAUAUUCAAAAAAAAGUCAAUAAAUUGUCGU